UGCAGAUGAUGUCUUUUCUCACGAUGGUCUUCCUAAACUCAUUGAGGACACUGCCUUAAGGCAAUGCUGAUGCAGUUUA